UAAACGGUAGGUACCGUUAUGAAACGUUACGCGGUAUAAUAUCACUAUACUCACGACGGUCGACAGUUGUUAUCAUAUUUCUUGUUUUUAAAAUAUAAAUAUACAUAGAACACCAGUACGCCACAAUAUUAAUGUUUCAUUUCUGGUAUAUCAUAACCAAUAACAAUAAUUAUAUUAAAUUGUAGUGAUGUGUUCAUCGUAACCGUGGUUGGUUUAUGCGUCUUUUUAACCUAAAAGUCAUUAUAGUCUGAAUUGUCUUCUGUCAAAUGAACAAUGUACAUCGCCAACGUGGUUUGUAAAUUGUUAUAAUUCGAAGUCGCAAUUCAUAGUCUGUUCAAACUGCUGCCUAAUAAUAAAAUUGCCAUUCGCUGUCUUUAUUGUAUAUCAAAAUCGGAAAAGUUCUCGAAGUGCCAACGAAGUACGAUUGCAGCGCCGUUUUGUCUGUUUUACUCUGUACCUACUCCAGUUUAUAAUAUCGUAAACUAGUAGGUACCUACUUAGUCUAUACCAAGUCUAAUGUUACUUAGUGCCAUAGUCUGUUCAAACUGCUGCCUAAUAUAAUUGACAUUCGCCGUCUUUAUUGGAUAUCAAAAUCGGAAAAGUUCUCGAAGUGCCAACGAAGUACGAUUGCAGCGCCGUUUUGUCUGUUUUACUCUGUACCUACUCCAGUUUAUAAUAUCGUAAACUAGUAGGUACCUACUUAGUCUAUACCAAGUCUAAUGUUACUUAGUGCCAUAGUCUGUUCAAACUGCUGCCUAAUAUAAUUGACAUUCGCCGUCUUUAUUGGAUAUCAAAAUCGGAAAAGUUCUCGAAGUGCCAACGAAGUACGAUUGCAGCGCCGUUUUGUCUGUUUUACUCUGUACCUACUCCAGUUUAUAAUAUCGUAAACUAGUAGGUACCUACUUAGUCUAUACCAAGUCUAAUGUUACUUAGUGCCAUAGUCUGUUCAAACUGCUGCCUAAUAUAAUUGACAUUCGCCGUCUUUAUUGGAUAUCAAAAUCGGAAAAGUUCUCGAAGUGCCAACGAAGUACGAUUGCAGCGCCGUUUUGUCUGUUUUACUCUGUACCUACUCCAGUUUAUAAUAUCGUAAACUAGUAGGUACCUACUUAGUCUAUACCAAGUCUAAUGUUACUUAGUGCCAUAGUCUGUUCAAACUGCUGCCUAAUAUAAUUGACAUUCGCCGUCUUUAUUGGAUAUCAAAAUCGGAAAAGUUCUCGAAGUGCCAACGAAGUACGAUUGCAGCGCCGUUUUGUCUGUUUUACUCUGUACCUACUCCAGUUUAUAAUAUCGUAAACUAGUAGGUACCUACUU